GUGAACCUGGUUCGGAUGGUGCAGCUGGCAAAGAGGGACCUCCAGGAAAGCAGGGACUCUAUGGACCCCCCGGCCCAAAGGGUGACCCAGGACCUGCAGGACAGAAAGGCCAAGCAGGAGAAAAGGGAAGAUCUGGCAUGCCUGGGGGCCCUGGCAAGAGUGGCUCCAUGGGACCGAUUGGACCACCGGGUCCUGCGGGAGAGAGAGGCCACCCUGGGUCCCCAGGGCCUGCUGGGAACCCUGGAUUGCCUGGUUUGCCAGGCUCUAUGGUAAGGGGAGGCCCGCAACCAUGGAUGGACACCAUCCCAUAGUACAGGCCCACAAUUAUUUUAGCAACUCCUUCCGACAUUCUGCAGGAAAGAACUUGACUAUGGGUGACUCCUAGUUCUUCAUGGGAAAGCGGGGAGCUACAGGCGUCCCUCCCACCCCAAACUGUAUUUUAGCGUAAGACGUGUAUUAUUUCGGGCUGGUAGCACGUUGUAUUAAGACCCAGCAAGAGGGGGCGGUUGGGGAUUUAGCUCAGUGGUAGAGCGCUUGCCUAGCAAGCUCAAGGCCCUGGGUUUGGUCCCCAGCUCCGG
rnacentral:lncRNA from 1 species